UGGGUGGGGUGACUUGUCUGCUUAAUUGCGAUAACGAACGAGACCUUAACCUGCUAAAUAGCCCGCAUUGCUCCGGCAGUGCGCUGGCUUCUUAGAGGGACUUUCGGCUCAAGCCGAAGGAAGUUUGAGGCAAUAACA
rnacentral:rRNA from 1 species